rnacentral:rRNA from 1 species
CAGCCGCCGCGGUAAUACAGAGGGUGCAAGCGUUAAUCGGAAUUACUGGGCGUAAAGCGCGCGUAGGUGGUUUGUUAAGUUGGAUGUGAAAGCCCCGGGCUCAACCUGGGAACUGCAUCCAAAACUGGCAAGCUAGAGUACGGUAGAGGGUGGUGGAAUUUCCUGUGUAGCGGUGAAAUGCGUAGAUAUAGGAAGGAACACCAGUGGCGAAGGCGACCACCUGGACUGAUACUGACACUGAGGUGCGAAAGCGUGGGGAGCAAACAGGAUUAGAUACCCGGGUAGUCCCUGUCUCUUAUAC